UAGAUUGGAGCUCGUUAGAAUGAGUGUUUAGCUGUUAACUAAAUGGUUGUGGGAUUAAAGCCCAUCAAUCUAA
rnacentral:tRNA from 1 species